rnacentral:lncRNA from 1 species
UUACGUCUACUCCUCCUACCUCGGACGAGACCCCCGAAAUAAUUAACAUUUUGCCACUCUUACGAGUGGUAAUAACAUAUUUGUCAUUGGACCUAUAUGUCAUAGACACAUGAAAGUCCAUAUGUUAUAGAUAGCAAGUGGUGAAUCUGUUAUCUGUCAAUCUUAAGAGUGGCAAAAAGUUAAAUGCCCCGCCGCCAUUAACAGGGUGGUGACAGCAUAAGCACCUUCAAGACGGAGGGGAGGCAAGGAGGAAGAAGAAGAUUUUGAUUAGCAGGCUAAAUGCAUUUUUGAUAUUUUGACAAUCGGCUAAAUAUUAAUAUAGAUACAAUGGGUAUGCAGACUGGCUACAACAAACUAGGCA